UACGUAGGGUGCAAGCGUUAAUCGGAAUUACUGGGCGUAAAGCGUGCGCAGGCGGUGAUGUAAGACAGGUGUGAAAUCCCCGGGCUUAACCUGGGAACUGCAUUUGUGACUGCAUCGCUGGAGUGCGGCAGAGGGGGAUGGAAUUCCGCGUGUAGCAGUGAAAUGCGUAGAUAUGCGGAGGAACACCGAUGGCGAAGGCAAUCCCCUGGGCCUGCACUGACGUCAUGCACGAAAGCGUGGGGAGCAA
rnacentral:rRNA from 1 species